rnacentral:rRNA from 1 species
CCUACGGGAGGCAGCAGUGGGGAAUCUUGCGCAAUGGGCGAAAGCCUGACGCAGCCAUGCCGCGUGAAUGAUGAAGGUCUUAGGAUUGUAAAAUUCUUUCACCGAGGACGAUAAUGACGGUACUCGGAGAAGAAGCCCCGGCUAACUUCGUGCCAGCAGCCGCGGUAAUACGAAGGGGGCUAGCGUUGCUCGGAAUUACUGGGCGUAAAGGGAGCGUAGGCGGAUAGUUUAGUCAGAGGUGAAAGCCCAGGGCUCAACCUUGGAAUUGCCUUUGAUACUGGCUAUCUUGAGUACGGAAGAGGUAUGUGGAACUCCGAGUGUAGAGGUGAAAUUCGUAGAUAUUCGGAAGAACACCAGUGGCGAAGGCGACAUACUGGUCCGUUACUGACGCUGAGGCUCGAAAGCGUGGGGAGCAAACAGGAUUAGAUACCCUGGUAGUCCACGCUGUAAACGAUGAGUGNUAGUGUCGCAUGCAUGCAUGUCGGU